UGGGGAAUUUUGCACAAUGGGGGAAACCCUGAUGCAGCGACGCCGCGUGAUUUAGAAGGCCUUCGGGUUGUAAAAAUCUUUUGUAUGGGAAGAAAAUGACAGUACCAUACGAAUAAGGACCGGCUAAUUACGUGCCAGCAGCCGCGGUAAUACGUAAGGUCCGAGCGUUGUCCGGAAUCAUUGGGCGUAAAGGGUACGUAGGCGGAUAAGCAAGUUAGAAGUGAAAUCCUAUAGCUCAACUAUAGUAAGCUUUUAAAACUGCUCAUCUUGAGGUAUGGAAGGGAAAGGGGAAUUCAUAGUGGAGCGGUGAAAUGAGCAGAUAAUAGGAGGAAGAACGGUGGCGAAGGAGAAGUUCUGGCAAGAUACUGACGCUGAGGUACGAAAGCGUGGGUAGCAAAAAGG
rnacentral:rRNA from 1 species